rnacentral:rRNA from 1 species
GGUUGAUCCUGCCAGUAGUCAUAUGCUUGUCUUAAAGAUUAAGCCAUGCAUGUUUAAGUUCAUACCUUUGAAUGGUGAAACCGCGAAUGGCUCAUUAAAUCAGUUAUAAUUUCAUGGGAUGUGUUUUGUUAAUUGGAUAACUGUGGUAAUUCUAGAGCUAAUACAUGCAUAUACGUUCAGCUUCGGCUGGAUGUGCUUUUAUUAGUGCAAACCAUGUCUUCGGACUGCAGGUGAUGACUCUGAUUGACUUUGCCGAGCAUUUCAGCCUUGAGCUGGUGCUAUUCCUUCAAAG